UGGGGAAUUUUGGACAAUGGGCGCAAGCCUGAUCCAGCCAUGCCGCGUGCAGGAUGAAGGCCUUCGGGUUGUAAACUGCUUUUGUACGGAACGAAAAGUCUCUUUCUAAUAAAGAGGGAUCAUGACGGUACCGUAAGAAUAAGCACCGGCUAACUACGUGCCAGCAGCCGCGGUAAUACGUAGGGUGCAAGCGUUAAUCGGAAUUACUGGGCGUAAAGCGUGCGUAGACGGUUAUCUAAGUCAGGUGUGAAAGCCCCGGGCUCAACCUGGGAAUUGCAUUUGAGACUGAAUAGCUAGGGUGCGGAAGAGGGAAGCGGAAUUUCCGGUGUAGCGGUGAAAUGCGUAGAUAUCGGAAGGAACACCAGUGGCGAAAGCGGCUUCCUGGUCCAGCACCGACGUUCAGGCACGAAAGCGUGGGGAGCAAACAGGAUUAGAUACCCUGGUAGUCCACGCCAUAAACGAUGAGAACUAGACGUUGAGAGGGUAAGCCUCCCAGUGUCGAAGCUAACGCGAUAAGUUCUCCGCCUGGGGAGUACGGCCGCAAGGUUG
rnacentral:rRNA from 1 species